CCUGUCUCCUGAGUGAUGCUUAGAUGAUGGCCCAAGAUGGGAUCACGUGUUGAUGGAAGGGCAGAUGGCGGAAUCCUAAAAGUCUUUGUAUCCGGAACCAAGAGAACCUGAGGUCAAGGCUAUCCGUGACGCAAGAGACGUCCAGUCGGAGCCAACCCAGAUGUAUCCAAGAUGUAUCCAGGAGGGACAAGUGGGCAGAGCCCCAGGAGAUUCGACAGCCGCUGCAA